rnacentral:rRNA from 1 species
CUACGGGAGGCUCCAGUGGGGAAUAUUGGACAAUGGGGGAAACCCUGAUCCAGCAAUGCCGCGUGUGUGAAGAAGGCCUGCGGGUUGUAAAGCACUUUCGGUUGGGAGGACUGCUUCUAGCACUAAUAUUGUUGGAAGUUGACGUUACCUACAGAAGAAGCACCGGCUAACUCCGUGCCAGCAGCCGCGGUAAUACGGAGGGUGCAUGCGUUAAUCGGAAUUACUGGGCGUAAAGCGCGCGUAGGCGGCUAGAUCAGUCGGGUGUGAAAGCCCCGGGCUUAACCUGGGAACUGCAUCCGAUACUGUCUAGCUUGAGUACAGGAGAGGAGAGUGGAAUUCCACAUGUAGCGGUGAAAUGCGUAGAUAUGUGGAGGAACACCAAUGGCGAAGGCAGCUCUCUGGCCUGAUACUGACGCUGAGGUGCGAAAGCGUGGGGAGCAAACAGGAUUAGAUACCCGAGUAGUC